rnacentral:rRNA from 1 species
UACGUAGGGUGGGAGCGUUAAUCGGAAUUACUGGGCGUAAAGCGUGCGCAGGCGGUGAUGUAAGACAGAUGUGAAAUCCCCGGGCUCAACCUGGGACCUGCAUUUGUGACUGCAUCGCUAGAGUACGGCAGAGGGGGAUGGAAUUCCACGUGUAGCAGUGAAAUGCGUAGAUAUGCGGAGGAACACCGAUGGCGAAGGCAAUCCCCUGGGCCUGUACUGACGCUCAUGCACGAAAGCGUGGGGAGCAAACAGG